rnacentral:rRNA from 1 species
UUAAGCGACUAAGCGUACACGGUGGAUGCCCUGGCAGUCAGAGGCGAUGAAGGACGUGCUAAUCUGCGAUAAGCGUCGGUAAGGUGAUAUGAACCGUUAUAACCGGCGAUUUCCGAAUGGGGAAACCCAGUGUGAUUCGUCACACUAUCAUUAACUGAAUCCAUAGGUUAAUGAGGCGAACCGGGGGAACUGAAACAUCUAAGUACCCCGAGGAAAAGAAAUCAACCGAGAUUCCCCCAGUAGCGGCGAGCGAACGGGGAGCAGCCCAGAGCCUGAAUCAGUGUGUGUGUUAGUGGAAGCGUCUGGAAAGGCGCGCGAUACAGGGUGACAGCCCCGUACACAAAAAUGCACAUACUGUGAGCUCGAUGAGUAGGGCGGGACACGUGGUAUCCUGUCUGAAUAUGGGGGGACCAUCCUCCAAGGCUAAAUACUCCUGACUGACCGAUAGUGAACCAGUACCGUGAGGGAAAGGCGAAAAGAACCCCGGCGAGGGGAGUGAAAAAGAACCUGAAACCGUGUACGUACAAGCAGUGGGAGCACAGAGCAAUCUGUGUGACUGCGUACCUUUUGUAUAAUGGGUCAGCGACUUAUAUUCUGUAGCAAGGUUAACCGAAUAGGGGAGCCGAAGGGAAACCGAGUCUUAACUGGGCGUUAAGUUGCAGGGUAUAGACCCGAAACCCGGUGAUCUAGCCAUGGGCAGGUUGAAGGUUGGGUAACACUAACUGGAGGACCGAACCGACUAAUGUUGAAAAAUUAGCGGAUGACUUGUGGCUGGGGGUGAAAGGCCAAUCAAACCGGGAGAUAGCUGGUUCUCCCCGAAAGCUAUUUAGGUAGCGCCUCGUGAAUUCAUCUCCGGGGGUAGAGCACUGUUUCGGCAAGGGGGUCAUCCCGACUUACCAACCCGAUGCAAACUGCGAAUACCGGAGAAUGUUAUCACGGGAGACACACGGCGGGUGCUAACGUCCGUCGUGAAGAGGGAAACAACCCAGACCGCCAGCUAAGGUCCCAAAGUCAUGGUUAAGUGGGAAACGAUGUGGGAAGGCCCAGACAGCCAGGAUGUUGGCUUAGAAGCAGCCAUCAUUUAAAGAAAGCGUAAUAGCUCACUGGUCGAGUCGGCCUGCGCGGAAGAUGUAACGGGGCUAAACCAUGCACCGAAGCUGCGGCAGCGACGCUUAUGCGUUGUUGGGUAGGGGAGCGUUCUGUAAGCCUGUGAAGGUGUACUGUGAGGUAUGCUGGAGGUAUCAGAAGUGCGAAUGCUGACAUAAGUAACGAUAAAGCGGGUGAAAAGCCCGCUCGCCGGAAGACCAAGGGUUCCUGUCCAACGUUAAUCGGGGCAGGGUGAGUCGACCCCUAAGGCGAGGCCGAAAGGCGUAGUCGAUGGGAAACAGGUUAAUAUUCCUGUACUUGGUGUUACUGCGAAGGGGGGACGGAGAAGGCUAUGUUGGCCGGGCGACGGUUGUCCCGGUUUAAGCGUGUAGGCUGGUUUUCCAGGCAAAUCCGGAAAAUCAAGGCUGAGGCGUGAUGACGAGGCACUACGGUGCUGAAGCAACAAAUGCCCUGCUUCCAGGAAAAGCCUCUAAGCAUCAGGUAACAUCAAAUCGUACCCCAAACCGACACAGGUGGUCAGGUAGAGAAUACCAAGGCGCUUGAGAGAACUCGGGUGAAGGAACUAGGCAAAAUGGUGCCGUAACUUCGGGAGAAGGCACGCUGAUAUGUAGGUGAAGUCCCUCGCGGAUGGAGCUGAAAUCAGUCGAAGAUACCAGCUGGCUGCAACUGUUUAUUAAAAACACAGCACUGUGCAAACACGAAAGUGGACGUAUACGGUGUGACGCCUGCCCGGUGCCGGAAGGUUAAUUGAUGGGGUCAGCGCAAGCGAAGCUCUUGAUCGAAGCCCCGGUAAACGGCGGCCGUAACUAUAACGGUCCUAAGGUAGCGAAAUUCCUUGUCGGGUAAGUUCCGACCUGCACGAAUGGCGUAAUGAUGGCCAGGCUGUCUCCACCCGAGACUCAGUGAAAUUGAACUCGCUGUGAAGAUGCAGUGUACCCGCGGCAAGACGGAAAGACCCCGUGAACCUUUACUAUAGCUUGACACUGAACAUUGAGCCUUGAUGUGUAGGAUAGGUGGGAGGCUUUGAAGUGUGGACGCCAGUCUGCAUGGAGCCGACCUUGAAAUACCACCCUUUAAUGUUUGAUGUUCUAACGUUGACCCGUAAUCCGGGUUGCGGACAGUGUCUGGUGGGUAGUUUGACUGGGGCGGUCUCCUCCUAAAGAGUAACGGAGGAGCACGAAGGUUGGCUAAUCCUGGUCGGACAUCAGGAGGUUAGUGCAAUGGCAUAAGCCAGCUUGACUGCGAGCGUGACGGCGCGAGCAGGUGCGAAAGCAGGUCAUAGUGAUCCGGUGGUUCUGAAUGGAAGGGCCAUCGCUCAACGGAUAAAAGGUACUCCGGGGAUAACAGGCUGAUACCGCCCAAGAGUUCAUAUCGACGGCGGUGUUUGGCACCUCGAUGUCGGCUCAUCACAUCCUGGGGCUGAAGUAGGUCCCAAGGGUAUGGCUGUUCGCCAUUUAAAGUGGUACGCGAGCUGGGUUUAGAACGUCGUGAGACAGUUCGGUCCCUAUCUGCCGUGGGCGCUGGAGAACUGAGGGGGGCUGCUCCUAGUACGAGAGGACCGGAGUGGACGCAUCACUGGUGUUCGGGUUGUCAUGCCAAUGGCACUGCCCGGUAGCUAAAUGCGGAAGAGAUAAGUGCUGAAAGCAUCUAAGCACGAAACUUGCCCCGAGAUGAGUUCUCCCUGACUCCUUGAGAGUCCUGAAGGAACGUUGAAGACGACGACGUUGAUAGGCCGGGUGUGUAAGCGCAGCGAUGCGUUGAGCUAACCGGUACUAAUGAACCGUGAGGCUUAACCU